rnacentral:rRNA from 1 species
UACGUAGGGUGCGAGCGUUAAUCGGAAUUACUGGGCGUAAAGCGUGCGCAGGCGGCUUUGCAGGACAGAUGUGAAAUCCCCGGGCCCAACCUGGGAACUGCAUUUGUGACUGCAAGGCUAGAGUACGGCAGAGGGGGAUGGAAUUCCGCGUGUAGCAGUGAAAUGCGUAGAUAUGCGGAGGAACACCAAUGGCGAAGGCAAUCCCCUGGGCCUGUACUGACGCUCAUGCACGAAAGCGUGGGGAGCAAACAGG